rnacentral:rRNA from 1 species
AUUGAACGCUGGCGGCAGGCCUAACACAUGCAAGUCGAGCGGAUGAAGGGAGCUUGCUCCUGUAUUCAGCGGCGGACGGGUGAGUAAUGCCUAGGAAUCUGCCUGGUAGUGGGGGAUAACGUCCGGAAACGGGCGCUAAUACCGCAUACGUCCUUAGGGAGAAAGUGGGGGAUCUUCGGACCUCACGCUAUCAGAUGAGCCUAGGUCGGAUUAGCUAGUUGGUGGGGUAAAGGCCUACCAAGGCGACGAUCCGUAACUGGUCUGAGAGGAUGAUCAGUCACACUGGAACUGAGACACGGUCCAGACUCCUACGGGAGGCAGCAGUGGGGAAUAUUGGACAAUGGGCGAAAGCCUGAUCCAGCCAUGCCGCGUGUGUGAAGAAGGUCUUCGGAUUGUAAAGCACUUUAAGUUGGGAGGAAGGGCAGUAAGUUAAUCCCUUGCUGUUUUGACGUUACCAACAGAAUAAGCACCGGCUAACUUCGUG